UUAAGGAAUGGCGCUUAUCCUGUACAACGCCAUUUUCAUUUGUUUAUCGUGAUUUUGUUAUUCUCAGCUCAGUGUUGUGUGUGGUUUGGUCCGCGUGAUUGCGGAUGAAAAGCUAAAUUAACAUUUUCCUGCAGAUACACGUCAGGGUAGAAUGUUGCUGUGGAGCGCUUUUCAGUAACGUAGCAUGCUAGGCAGCGUGAGCGGGUGCUAGCUGUUAGCUUAAAUUAGCUGCCAGCGUUAGUUGAUGAGCGUGUUGGAGGCCAGUGUCUACUUUGCGUUUAGCGGGAUGUGUGGUUAUUGUUCUCGGUUUGAGAAGUUUGCCCGUGGAGUAGUAGUGAUGGAACUGCACGCCCCUGUACAUUUCCGUACACGCGUUUGUUGCUGGAGCUUCUUAAACGGCCUCAUUGUUAGCAAGUGCAGAAGUCUUUCCCAGAGAGGCCGAGCAGCGAUAACGGAAAGGAUUGGAAAUGGGGAAUUUGGGCAGUAUAUGUGUGGAGCACGCGGAGGGAUGCUUGGUGGACUGGGUGGCGUGUUGUUAUCAGAGGGGAGCAGACAGCGGAGACGUCGCUAAGCCUCGCAUUCAAACCAGGCCGCCUUUAGCAGUAACAGGAAGCGCCUGAACUGCAGGAGGCACAGGGUCUGUCUGCCAUGGACCAUCAUCA